UCCGCUGCGCACUGCUUCCUUCAUAGCAACUCGAAUGGCAACACUGUGGCAUAUUCUUCAAGAGUACCCGCCUCUGCGUCCUCUUGCCCCGUGCUAAGGCCUUCUGAACCCAACUUCGCCUCCGCAAAUUGAGUCGCCUUAGUUCCUCCAUCAAAUGCUCCUCCGAGGUAAGGUGCAUGUGCCCCGAAGCUCCCUUCGUCUUUGGCACCAUGCAAGAUGAGUCCACUCCGACAGAAUGAAUGGCCCAUGGAACAACAU
rnacentral:lncRNA from 1 species